rnacentral:rRNA from 1 species
AUUGAACGCUGGCGGCAUGCCUUACACAUGCAAGUCGAACGGCAGCACGGGGCAACCUGGUGGCGAGUGGCGAACGGGUGAGUAAUGCAUCGGAACGUACCUUUCAGUGGGGGAUAACGUAGCGAAAGUUACGCUAAUACCGCAUAUUCUGUGAGCAGGAAAGCAGGGGACCGCAAGACCUUGCGCUGAUUGAGCGGCCGAUGUCAGAUAAGCUAGUUGGUGAGGUAAAGGCUCACCAAGGCGACGAUCUGUAGCGGGUCUGAGAGGAUGAUCCGCCACACUGGAACUGAGACACGGUCCAGACUCCUACGGGAGGCAGCAGUGGGGAAUUUUGGACAAUGGGGGCAACCCUGAUCCAGCCAUGCCGCGUGAGUGAAGAAGGCCUUCGGGUUGUAAAGCUCUUUCGGCCGGGAAGAAAUCGCACGGGCUAAUACCCUGUGUGGAUGACGGUACCGGAAUAAGAAGCACCGGCUAACUACGUGCCAGCCGCCGCCGUAAUAC